rnacentral:SRP_RNA from 1 species
GCCGGGCGUGGUGGCGGGCGCCUGUAGUCCCAGCUACUACGGAGGCUGAGGCAGGAGAAUUGCUUGAACCUGGAAGGCAGAGGUUGCAGUGAGCCGAGAUCAUGCCACUGCACUCCAGCCUGGCGACUGAACAAGACUCCGUUUUAAAAACAAAACAAAACAAAAAACAAGUUUUUGUUUUUUUUGUUUUGUUGUUUGAGACGGAGUCUCGCUCUGUCCCAGGCUGGAGUGCAGUGGCCGGAUCUCAGCUCACUGCAAGCUCCGCCUCCCGGGUUUACGCCAUUCUCCUGCCUCAG